CUUGAGAAUCAGGUUGGCAAUGUAGGGUGGAAGAACAACUCUAGAAAUCUAUCAUAGGCUCUCCAACAGUCAAGUUGCGCUCAAGCGUCCAAGGUUGCACUGGAGAAGAACAAUGUCGCAUUCAGUGCCUUUGCGUAGGCUCUUGCCUGUCAAAAUAAGAAAAUCUUGUGACAACCUCUGGCAUAACCCAAAUUUGGAAGAUUUGGUGGGAAACUCUCAAAAAAAUCUAUCAGUUUGUUACAAAAUUAUGGAGUUGCAGGAUCUUGGAUCAUCAUUCAGUUUCCUGGCUAAGGGUACGACUAAAGAAACACUCAUGAUUUCUACUGUUACCUCGCUUGCAAUUGCCCAUUGCAAAUCGAUUGGGAGUUGGAUAAAAUCAUCAAACUUUGUUCCUAUCAGUACUGGAAUUGCUGCCUGCAAAACAAACAGAGAACGUUCCACCUUCAGUAAAGUGGGAGAAAGGAGCUUUUGGUUUUAGAAACUUUGGAGGGUGCUAUCAAAUGGGUCCUAAAAUACCUGAUUCCACUUCCAGGCCUGUCUAUACCACCUUAGAACGCUGCAAACCGAAGGAAAAUCUUGGUUUCAACCUUCUUAUUCAUCAGAGCCAAAGUUGAAUAAGCAACAGAAACAAGUCUCACCUCUUUAAGGUACGCCGACUUGUUAGAUCAAACAUAAAAAGUAUUGCUACAGAGUCUUUGCAUGCUGUUGGAAUGUGAUCCUGAGAUUUCUUGUCGCCUGCAUCCAUAUACACACAUUAUUUCCUUUCUGCAUCUCAUCAUAGAACUGUCCACAUUAUAAUUCUUGAGCUGCAAAUUUAGCCAAUUACCUCCCACUUCCCAAAUGCUAUACGAAAUUCGUGCCCCUCUAACCAUCAGUGUCUUGUCCAUCAAGUUCAAUCCUCUCUGCUCACUCUUUCCCUCCUCCAUUUCAUUCCCAA